GGAAGGAUCAUUAACACGAAACCCACGUUUCAAACCAACCUGUGCUCUUGUAACCUUUAAGUAAUAUCUGGUACUUCAAUUUUGUCGGUGACUCGUUUCGAAAGAGACUUUCCCAACAAAAACGGAGAUCAAUACCUCUAUUGCUUUUUUUUUUUAUAACCCCUUGUAUCAUCUAUUGACUGAACCUUGGAAGUUUGAGACCCUUCGGGGAACUCGCUUCUGAUAUUACGAAACUCUGAACAACUCUUAGCAACGGAUAUCUUGGUUCUCGCAACGAUGAAGAACGCAGCGAAAUGCGAUACGUAAUGCGAAUUGCAGAAUUCAGUGAAUCAUCAAAUCUUUGAACGCAAAUUGCGCUCUCGGGUAUCCCUGGGAGCACGCCUCUUUGAGUAUCGGUUCUACCUCAUCUCGACAGCGUACUCGAGUCUAAACAACUCGAGUUUGUGUAGUCGGAAAAUGAGUUGUCUCAGUUCGCUUUUUCUACUCGAGUUUUUUAACUCGCGGUAAAAAAUGUUCUACUGAGUCACUUUAAAUUUAGAGAAGAACUGAACCUUCCCACUUAAUUGGGGGAUGACGCAAGAUAAUUCACUCCUCGUGAGUGUUUACAACCUUCGUCUCUCCUAAGGGAUGUGUUCUGGUUUUGAUCCAGGAAUUUAUUCUUCGGAAUAAAAUCUUUUUCAGAAUAAGAUCUCAGAUGAAGCGAGAAUACCCGCCGAAUUUAAGCAUAUUAAUAAGCGGAGGAAAAGAAACUAACAAGGAUGCCUUCAGUAACGGCGAGUGAAGCAGGCAUAGCUCAACUUGUAAAUCGAGUGCCCAAACGGGUACUCGAGUUGUAGUCUCGCGAAGCAGCUUCAGCGUGUGACCCAGGUAUAAAUCCUUUGGAACAGGGUAUCAUAGAGGGUGAGAAUCCCGUCUUUGACCUGGAGUUCACCGCGUACGAACUGUUUUCUAAGAGUCGAGUUGAUUGGGAUCUCAGCUCUAAAUGGGAGGUAAAUUUCUUCUAAAGCUAAAUAUUGGCGAGAGACCGAUAGCGAACAAGUACCGUGAGGGAAAGAUGAAAAGAACUUUGAAAAGAGAGUUAAACAGUACUUGAAAUUGCUAAGAGGGAAGCACUGGAGACCAGUAGUGCCGCUUCGUAUUUUUCAUUUUGACCGGGAACAAGGCGUUUAGGUAGUUCGCAAGGCUACUUGGGCGUCGGGUCCUUGUUGGGGUGUACUGUGCGGAGUAGCGAGUCAGGAUCAAGUGGAUUCGUGGGAGAAAAUUAGAAGUGAGACUCCCUGGUAGCAAUACUGGGGGUUAAACCUUUUGAUUAUACCAUGGAUUCGCUUGAGGUAUUGACAAGACGCGCCUUCGGGUUUUACCUGCCUGGUUCUUUCUAUUGAGGGUUGGUAGACAGUCAAACUGUGUAUUGACCUGACUGUAGUUAUUGGCUGGAGCAUGUGUAUAUGCGUCUUUGCGAUCCUGACGAAAUGGUCUUCAUUGACCCGUCUUGAAACACGGACCAAGGAGUCUAACAUAUAUGCGAGUAUUUGGGUGAUUAAAACCCUGAUGCGCAAUGAAAGUGAAGGCAGCUCGUCUGCUGAGGUAGGAACCUGGCCUUCGGGUUAGGGGCACUAUCGACCGCAUCUUUUACAUCGUGAAAGGUUUGAGUAAGAGCAUAUCUGUUGGGACCCGAAAGAUGGUGAUCUAUGCCUGAACAGGGCGAAGCCAGGGGAAACUCUGGUGGAGGCUCGUAGCGAUACUGACGUGCAAAUCGUUCGUCUGAUUUAGGUAUAGGGGCGAAAGACUAAUCGAACCAUCUAGUAGCUGGUUCCCUC
rnacentral:misc_RNA from 1 species